rnacentral:rRNA from 1 species
UACGUAGGGUGCGAGCGUUAAUCGGAAUUACUGGGCGUAAAGCGCGCGUAGGCGGCUUUUCAAGUCGAUUGUGAAAUCCCCGGGCUUAACCUGGGAACUGCAGUCGAGACUGUCUAGCUAGAGCAUGGGAGAGGGAAGUGGAAUUUCAGGUGUAGCGGUGAAAUGCGUAGAUAUCUGAAGGAACAUCAGUGGCGAAAGCGACUUCCUGGACCAAUACUGACGCUCAUGUGCGAAAGCGUGGGGAGCAAACAGG